rnacentral:rRNA from 1 species
UACGGAAGGCAGCAGUGGGGAAUAUUGCACAAUGGGCGCAAGCCUGAUGCAGCCAUGCCGCGUGUAUGAAGAAGGCCUUCGGGUUGUAAAGUACUUUCAGUCGUGAGGAAGGUGUUAAGGUUAAUAACCUUAGCAAUUGACGUUAGCGACAGAAGAAGCACCGGCUAACUCCGUGCCAGCAGCCGCGGUAAUACGGAGGGUGCGAGCGUUAAUCGGAAUUACUGGGCGUAAAGGGCACGCAGGCGGUUAAUUAAGUUGGAUGUGAAAUCCCCGGGCUUAACCUGGGAAUGGCAUUCAAGACUGGUUAGCUAGAGUCUUGUAGAGGGGGUAGAAUUCCAUGUGUAGCGGUGAAAUGCGUAGAGAUGUGGAGGAAUACCGGGUGCGAAGGCGGCCCCUGGGACAAAGACUGACGCUCAUGUGCGAAAGCGUGGGGAGCAAACGAGGAUUAGAUACC